AGAACGAACGCUGGCGGCAGGCUUAACACAUGCAAGUCGAACGCUCGUAGCAAUACGAGAGUGGCAGACGGGUGAGUAACGCGUGGGAACAUACCCUCCGGUUCGGAAUAGCUCAGGGAAACUUGGAUUAAUACCGGAUACGGCUGAGAGGCGAAAGAUUUAUCGCCGGAGGAUUGGCCCGCGUUCGAUUAGCUUGUUGGUGAGGUAACGGCUCACCAAGGCGAUGAUCGAUAGCUGGUCUGAGAGGAUGAUCAGCCACAUUGGGACUGAGACACGGCCCAAACUCCUACGGGAGGCAGCAGUGGGGAAUAUUGGACAAUGGGCGCAAGCCUGAUCCAGCCAUGCCGCGUGAGUGAUGACGGCCUUAGGGUUGUAAAGCUCUUUCGCUCGGGACGAUAAUGACGGUACCGAGAUAAGAGCCCGGCUAACUUCGUGCCAGCAGCCGC
rnacentral:rRNA from 1 species